GAUGAAGAACGCAGCGAAAUGCGAUAAGUAGUGUGAAUUGCAGAAUUCAGUGAAUCAUCGAAUCUUUGAACGCACAUUGCGCCCCUUGGUAUUCCAUGGGGCAUGCCUGUUCGAGCGUCAUUUGUACCUUCAAGCUCUGCUUGGUGUUGGGUGUUUGUCUCGCCUCUGAGUGUAGACUCGCCUUAAAACAAUUGGCAGCCGGCGUAUUGAUUUCGGAGCGCAGUACAUCUCGCGCUUUGCACUCAUAACGACGACGUCCAAAAGUACAUUUUUACACUCUUGACCUCGGAUCAGGUAGGGAUACCCGCUGAACUUAAGCAUAUCAAUAAGCGGAGGA
rnacentral:misc_RNA from 1 species